rnacentral:rRNA from 1 species
UACACGCCAACAUUGUGAAACGCACUUUCGGGUGCAUUGAAUGAGUGCUUUCGGGCACGCUUUUCUUUUAACUUUUAUUUUUAUAUCUGACAACCAAGAAAAUUUAAAACUUUCAACAACGGAUCUCUUGGUUCUCGCAUCGAUGAAGAACGCAGCAAAGCGCGAUAGGUAAUGCGAAUUGCAGACGUGAGUCAUUGAAUCUUUGAACGCACAUUGCGCUACUGGGCUAUAUGCUCAGUAGCAUGCUUGUUGGAGCGCCGAUCUUUCUCCUCUACCUGUUUCGACAGGCCUGAGGGUUCUGCUCCCGCCGGGAGUGAAAGACAUGGAAGUGCACACGUUAGAUAACUCUGUGCAGUUACACUUUUAUAUUUUUGGCCCCCAAUCAAGCAAGGCUACCCGCUGAACUUAAGCAUAUCAAUAAGCGGAGGAAAAGAAACCAACAGGGAUUGCCCUAGUAACGGCGAGUGAACAGGCAAGAGCUCAGAUUUGAAAGCCUCUCGGGGCAUUGUAUUCUGAAGCCUUGAUUCUGAGAAACGGUACCUAAGUCUUCUGGAAAGGAGCGCCAAGGAGGGUGAUAGCCCCGUACGGUACUGACCUCAUUGUAGAAUCUUGGCGUGGAGUCGAGUUGUUUGGGAAUGCAGCUCAAAUGGGUGGUAUGCUCCAUCUAAAGCUAAAUAUCUGCGAGAGACCGAUAGCGAACAAGUACUGUGAAGGAAAGAUGAAAAGAACUUUGAAAAGAGAGUGAAAAAGUACGUGAAAUUGUUGAAAUGGAAGGAUAGGCCGCUAACCACGUAGAGCCGUGUCUGAGGGGAGGAUAAAAGCUGUAGAAUGUGACUCUUCGGAGUGUUAUAGCUACAGUGCAUACUCCCACUCGGGCGCGAGACCU